AGGAACUGAAGACGUCUCUCCCUAUCUAGUGAAAGAGGAUCCCCCCGCGGUGUGCCAGGAGGCUGCGUCGACGCGUGCAGGGGACGAGGAAGGCUUCCACCAGGCCAGAGCAAUAGGCUGCAACGCUGUGCCUGCAGGGGAUGACACCACCGCCCCCCGCUAAUGAGGCCAAGGACAAGCCGAAAAUGUCCACACUUGGAAGAAAAAGACGUUGGCUCAAAGAUGUGGCCAAGUCAUCGACACUUCGGAGAGACUCGGCUUUAGAAAAAUUCCUGAAACGAUUGUUUUCAGCAAACUCCAAUUUCUUUCUCCAGCAAUUUUAAGAGUGUG
ensembl:lncRNA